GGAGAAUUAGCUCAGCUGGGGGAGCAUCUGCCUUACAAGCAUAGGGUCGGCGGUUCGAAGCCGUCAUUCUCCACCA
rnacentral:tRNA from 1 species